rnacentral:lncRNA from 1 species
CCCCACACUCCUCAACAAAAUGGUGUUGUAGAAAUAAAACAUAGGACCCUCCUUGAAGCAUGUAGAGCUUUACUUUUUCAAUCCAAAUUACAUAUUCAUUUUUGGGGGGACUGUUUAUUGACUGCCACCUAAUUGCUUAAUAGGAAUCCAUCCAGAAUUCUUUACAACAAAUCUCCUUAUGAAAUACUGUAUGGCAAGGCCCCUACUUAUUCACAUUUAAGGGCACUUGGCUAUCUUGCCUAUGCCAAUGUACCCAUCCCACAGAGAGAUAAGCUGAAACCUGGAGCUAUUUCUUGUGUUUUUCUGGGAUAUCCCUUUGCCAAAAAGGGUUACAGGCUGUAUGACCUAAGUACUAAAAAGUGUUUUGUAUCCAGGGAAGUUAUUUUUCAUGAAACUUGUUUUCCUUUUGAAUCUGCUUCUGCUGUUUCCUCUGGUACUGCUGUUUUUCCUUCUCCUUUUGUCCCUUCCCCUCAGCAUCCCUAUUCUGAGAUUGAUCUGUCUGUUCCCAUUUGCAUGGUUCUUCUGCUUUUCCUUCUCCUUUUGUUUCUUCCCCUGAGCUUCCCUGUUCUGAAUUUGAUUUACCUGUUCCCCUAUGUCCUUCUCCUCCUGCUUCUUUUCCUUCUGAGUCUAGUCCUAUUUCAUCAUCCCUUCCUCCCUCCCUUCCUUCUCCUUCUGUUCCUCUUUCUGAUAUUAAUCAUCCUGCUUCCACUCCUCUUUUCAACCCUGAUCCUUCUCCUCCAGCUAUUUCUUCCUCUGUUGCCCCUACUGGACACAGAAGAUCUGGAAGACAACAUAAUCCUCCCUCUUAUCUCACUGAUUAUUUUUGUCACGUACCUUCCUUUUCUGGCUCUUCCUCAUCUUCUUAUCCUUUGGAAUCUGAACCCAUAUAUUAUUCUCAAGCUGCAUCAGUCCCAGCAUGGCAGGAUGCCAUGAGCAAGGAGUUUGAGGCUUUGGAUGCCAACCAUACUUGGGAUAUUUUUCCACUUCCUCCUGGUAAGAAGCCCAUAGGCUGCAAAUGGGUUUAUAAAAUUAAAUAUAAGGCUGAUGGUAGUAUUGAAAAAUACAAGGCUAGGCUUGUCAUUAGGGGUGAUACUCAAAUUGAGGGUGUUGAUUUCACAGAUAUAUUUUCUCCUGUGGUCAAGAUGUUUACUGUUAAGUGCUUGAUUGUUGUGGCUGUUAAGAAACAUUGGGAUCUUUUCCAACUUGAUGUUAAUAAUGCCUUCUUGCAUGGUAACCUUGAUGAGGAGGUCUAUAUGAAGCUUUCUCCAGGUUUGUGUGUUUCUGCCUCUUCUGAUCCCUCUGUUUCUGCACCUCUUGUGUGCAAGUUACAGAAAUCCAUUUAUGGAUUGAGAUAGGCUUCCAGGCAGUGGUAUGCCAAGCUGUCUCAUGCUCUAUACUCCAGAGGCUAUGUUCAUUCUAUGAAUGACUACUCUUUAUUUGUCAAGGGUCAGCCUAGGUGUCUUGUGGUUCUGGAUGUGUAUGUGGAUGAAAUUAUUAUCACUGGAGAUGAUGUUGCUGAACUUUCUACCCUCAAAGUCUUCCUGGAUGAUCAAUUCAGAAUCAAAGACCUUGGGUCUCUGCACUAUUUUCUAGGCAUUGAGGUGUCCUCUGUUGCUGGUGGUGUGCUCCUUAAUCAGCACAAGUUUGUUUCUAACUUGCUGCAUCAGUUUGACUGUGUGGUUGUCUCCCCUGUAGUCUGCCCUUUGGACCUCAAUACCAAAUUGCAUGCUGAUUCUGGUGAUCUUUUCCCUUCUCUUGACCAUAACAGGAGCUUGAUUGGCAAGCUCAUCUUCUUGACACAUACUAGACCUGACAUCUGUUUUGCUGUUAAGCAUUUGAGUCAGUUUUUGAAGGCUCCCAAAAUACCUCACAUGUCUGCUGCUCUACAUGUUCUUAGGUAUCUUUGCUGUUCAGCAUUUGAGUAAGUUUUUGAAGGCUCCCAGAAUACCUCACAUGUCUGCUGCUCUACAUGUUCUUUGGUAUCUUAAGGGUUCUAUGGAUUUGGGGCUCUUCUACUCUGACAGUCCUGAUUUUUCAGUCACUGCCUUUUCAGACAGUGACUGGGCAGCUUGCCCUGACACUCGCAGAUCUGUUACUGGUUUUUGUGUGAUUUUGGGUGACAGCUUGGUCAGUUGGAAGUCCAAGUAACAUAACAGCCUGUGGUCUCUCUAUCCUUCGCUGAGGUAGAAUACAGGCACUCAGUAAGGUAGUUGCUGAAUUAUCUUGGAUUUCUCGUUUGCUCACUGAUCUUGGUGUUUCUGUUUAUUUUCCUUUGUCUGUUUAUUGUGACAAUCAGGCUGCUCUCCAUAUUGCUAAGAAUCCAGUUUUUCAU